AUUCUAUCCAUCAUGGAAGUUCUUCGAUAAAAAUAUAAAUUAAUAAAGAAUGGCUACUGUUUUAGAAGUUAAUUUUUUUAACACUCAAUCGGCGAAGGACUAAGGAAGAUUUAAGGCAUCCUCUCAUCUCUUUUUAUUGGCACACAGAACCGUCGAUACAACACAUUCGUCUAAAACUCUUAACUGAGCAUAAUAUCACGUACAAACAGAGUGGAAUGUAUGGUUUGCACAAAACAAAUGGAAUGCCAAAAUGUUAAUUAAAAAUAAUAGUUCCGUAAGGAACAAUUCCGCCAGUCAUCCGCAACUACUCAAUACUUGCCAGAUUAUAAUAUUAAAUAAAAAAUAAUUCAAGACUAGAGUUUUUUUUAAGUAAAACGCGCCGUGAAUCUCGUUAUUUACAGUAUACUAUUAUGUAAUAACGUGUAAAUGACAAAUUAUACAUUUCACUUUAUGGAAACGAUGCGACAGAACUAUACAGCGAUCAUUAAUUCGAUGCGAGACCUUGUAAAGAAGGAAUGAAAUUGCCACGGAGCGUUCCGCGCGAAUUCAUACGCGUGUUUGUAAUUCUGGUUACCGAUACAGCGCAAUUUUUUUUUAAAGUAUAAACUUUUAAAGGUCUGUUUAAAAUUCAUCCAUUUUAACCACGAAUAGAUCGAAUGUCAAAUGGAUGGACAAUUUUUUUACCCGCAAAGAAGAAAAAGUUGUUCGCUCCGUCUAAACAAGGUCUUGAACAUUAAAACAAUACACGGCGUAAUUGGCACUGAAGCUAAUAAUACCUAUAUACCAUAUAUACAAAGAUAGGAUUCGUUAUCGUAAAGAUAUCCAAUACUGCACGGAAUACUGUUAAUUCACGACGAUUUCAUUUUUAUAAUAUUCGAUUUACAAUAAAAUAAAAUUAAAAUGGACGCAAACAAUUACUUUAUUGCACGAAAAAUAAACAAAAAUAAAACAUUUAUACAACGUGUUAUUGGCCUGGCCUCGAUCUCGGAUAACCUAUGGUCGUUAAUAUCAUAAUAAUUCUACAUUUCCUCAUCAAUUCUCUCAAAACCACUCCCGCAAACUUUAGGCACUGGUUUUUUGCUAAUACAUAAUAUCAAAGCUAAUUUUAAUAUUUAAUUUUUCGAUAUACACCUUAUA
rnacentral:misc_RNA from 1 species